GAUCCGAAUCCCCCUAGAAACUCGACCCUACCCGUUGUUGUCCCUAAUCACAGUCCCUCGCAAACACAAACUUUUUAAACCCUCGAAAAAUCCCAAGUCCUUAUUCAAUCAUCUGCAAAUAUCACAGAGCCAAAAACCCAAAACCUCCCCCAAUUCAUUAUUGAAACUUUCCCUACAAUACAUAUAAAUAUACACUUAUAGGUCCUCAAUUUCAGAGCAAUUAAAAAAAUGCAUAUGGAAACAAUGAAUAUCGUGAUGUGCGAAUUCACCGACCGGGAAGGGACGGCAUUGGAAGCUCCCUUGUAUCUUCCACAGGAUGCCGGUCCUCAACAGCUUCAACAAAUCGUCAAUGAGCUUCUCCACAAUAAGGAGAAGUUGCCAUAUUCUUUCUACAUAUCAGACCAGGAGCUUCUUGUUCCACUUGAAAAUUACUUACAGAAAAAUAAAGUUUCCGUGGAGAAGGUACUUUCCAUUGUUUGUCAACCACAAGCUGUUUUCCGAAUCCGUCCAGUUAAUCGUUGUUCAGCAACUAUUGCUGGUCAUGCAGAACCUGUACUUUCGGUUGCUUUUAGUCCUGAUGGACGGCAUUUGGCAAGUGGCUCUGGAGAUACCUAUGUUCGUCUGUGGGAUCUUAAUACCCAAACGCCAAUGUUUAAAUGUACAGGACACAAGAAUUGGGUUCUUUGUAUUGCAUGGUCACCAGAUGGUAAACAUCUUGUGAGUGGGAGCAAGACUGGAGAGCUUCAAUGUUGGGAUCCUCAGACAGGAAAGCCAUCAGGCAAUCCACUUGUGGGCCACAAACAAUGGAUUACUGCUAUCUCUUGGGAACCAGUCCACUUGAAUACCCCAUGUCGUCGGUUUGUCAGUGCUAGCGGAGAUCGUGAUGCACGCAUAUGGGAUGUUUCAUUAAGGAAAUGUGUUAUCUGUCUCACUGGUCAUACAGAUGCAAUAACUUGUGUGAAAUGGGGUGGAGAUGGAGUAAUUUAUACUGGCUCCAAAGAUUGUACCAUCAAAGUCUGGGAGACUUCACAGGGGAAGUUAAUUCGGGAAUUGAAGGGUCAUGGGAAUAGGGUAAACUCCCUGGCUUUGAGCACUGAAUAUGUUCUUCGUACUGGAGCUUUUGACCAUACUGGCAAAACAUAUUCUUCGCCAGAUGAAGUGAAAAAGGUUGCUCUGGAAAGAUACAACAAAAUGAAAGGCAAUGGCCCUGAGAGAUUAGUUUCAGGUUCUGAUGAAUUUACUAUGUUUCUCUGGGAACCUGCUGUUAGCGAAGACUACAGAACUCGCAUGACAGGUCAUCAACAGCCUGUAAAUCAUGUUCUCUUCUCACCUGAUGGGCAAUGGGUGGCUAGUGCCUCAUUUGAUAGGUCAGUCAGGUUAUGGAAUGGUGUUACUGGAAAAUUCAUUGCUGCUUUUCGAGGACAUAUUGGGCGUGUUUAUCAAAUCAGCUGGUCAGCUGACAGUAGGCUUCUUUUAAGUGGAAGCGAAGACUCCAUGCUGAAGGUCUGGGAUAUAAGGACACAGAAGUUAAAACAAGACCUUCCAGGCCAUGAGGAUGAGGUAUAUGCUGUUGAUUGGAGUCCGGAUGGCGAGAAGGUAGCUUCUGGAGGUAAGGAUAGGGUAUUGAAGUUAUGGAUGGGCUAGACCUAGCAGAGGAGCAUAUGGUAGAAAUGUCAAACCACAUAGUAGUUGGCAGCUUCCACGGACAGCUAAUGAUGUGGUGAUAUCUUGACACUAAGCAGUGGGCAGAACAGCAUGAUAAAAGAAAACUGAAAGAAAUGUCUAUAAAAUGUGGUAGAUACAAUCUAAAUCAGAUGCCGAUGAAGCCAUUCUAUUUCAAGCUUUCAAAAGUCUCUUAGAGUCGCAUCCAGAGGAAUGAAGCUGGUACCCAGAGUUUUGCCUUAUCCUGUGAUACUAUGUACUUUGGCAAGCCCAUGUCGUUAUUGUAGUCACAUCUGCAACAACUGAACAACACAUGCACUCUUAGUUAUCUAAUCCUCAGAGAAGUUACCACUUGGAAAAAGCCAACUGAAAGGAAUAAUCCAAUGAUUAUUAUAGCUGCAAA